rnacentral:tRNA from 1 species
GGGGUGGGUUGGCUCAGUGGUUAGUGCGUAAGUCUUUUAACCGAAAGAUUGCGGGAUCGAACCCCGCUAUUUUA